UCGCCUCAUGGGCAAGGGGCGGCCUCGCAU
rnacentral:sRNA from 1 species